rnacentral:rRNA from 1 species
AACGAACGCUGGCGGCAGGCUUAACACAUGCAAGUCGAGCGCAUCCUUCGGGGUGAGCGGCAGACGGGUGAGUAACGCGUGGGAAUCUACCUUUUGCUACGGAAUAGCUCCGGGAAACUGGAAUUAAUACCGUAUGUGUCCUUAGGGGGAAAGAUUUAUCGGCAAGAGAUGAGCCCGCGUUGGAUUAGCUAGUUGGUGGGGUAAAGGCCUACCAAGGCGACGAUCCAUAGCUGGUCUGAGAGGAUGAUCAGCCACAUUGGGACUGAGACACGGCCCAAACUCCUACGGGAGGCAGCAGUGGGGAAUAUUGGACAAUGGGCGCAAGCCUGAUCCAGCCAUGCCGCGUGAGUGAUGAAGGCCUUAGGGUUGUAAAGCUCUUUCACCGGAGAAGAUAAUGACGGUAUCCGGAGAAGAAGCCCCGGCUAACUUCGUG